rnacentral:tRNA from 1 species
GGAACUGUAGGCGAAUUGGAAUAAGCCGCCUGGUUCUCAGCCAGGAAAUUGCAGGUUGGAGUCCUGUCAGUUCUACCA